GGCAGAGAGAGCUCGGCUCCCGUGGUCACUGACCAACGAGGAAAGUCCCCCCACCGUCCGGACAGGUGACCGGGCGCAAGCCCGGAGUCGGAGACGGCUGGCUCUGGAACAGAAACGAGACCCCUCGACCUGACCGAUGAGAUGCGCGGAGGCCCCCGCGAGGGGGCUGCGUUCACCCAUCGAGGGCCGACGGUCGAGAAUGGAUGGAACGGCGAACCCUCACCGGUGCAAGUCCGCAUCGCCAAGGUAGUCCGGACAGGAUGCGGACGCUCAGCUGAAUGCCGAGCCGAACAGAAGGGGGCUUACUCCUCUCAGCC
rnacentral:RNase_P_RNA from 2 species